CAAGGAGUAGUUUCACCUUUAAAAAAUACUAGCUUUGGGAGCUAGAGAUGGAAGUUUAAUCCUUCCCUCUUUGA
rnacentral:tRNA from 1 species